GAUUUUCAGGGCAGAACACAAAAGUCCAUUUAACUCACAAUUCCUGUUGAUUAUAAUCCUGGCCAUCGAAUCAGUUUUUACAGUUUAAAGGUGCUUUACAAGAGUUGGAGAAAAGAUCAAUACCCAACUGUGGCCCAGGUGAGGGGAAAAGAAUGGAGUAAUUGCAGCUGAAGGUUAACUUUGGACACACUUUCUGGUGAAAGGUUCCCUGUUAUGCUAUCAUGGCCAGAAGCAGAUGUCUCAAAUAACUGGUGUUUAAAAGGUACUUUAUGAUUUUUUAUAUUAAACCAUUUGUUCAGAAGUUCUUGCCAGUACACAUUUUUGGAAACAUCAAA